rnacentral:rRNA from 1 species
GACGAACGCUGGCGGCGUGCUUAACACAUGCAAGUCGAACGCUGAAGCUUGGUGCUUGCACUGGGUGGUUGAGUGGCGAACGGGUGAGUAAUACGUGAGUAACCUGCCCUUGACUCUGGGAUAAGCCUGGGAAACUGGGUCUAAUACUGGAUACGACAUGUCACCGCAUGGUGGUGUGUGGAAGGGGUUUUACUGGAUUUGGAUGGGCUCAAGGCCUAUCAGCUUGUUGGUGGGGCAAAGGCUCACCAAGGCGACGACGGGUAGCGGGCCUGAGAGGGUGACCGGCCACACUGGGACUGAGACACGGCCCAGACUCCUACGGGAGGCAGCAGUGGGGAAUAUUGCACGAUGGGCGGAAGCCUGAUGCAGCGACGCCGCGUGAGGGAUGACGGCCUUCGGGUUGUAAACCUCUUUCAGCACGGAAGAAGCGAAAGUGACGGUACGUGCAGAAGAAGCGCCGGCUAACUACGUG